UAGGACUACCGGGGUUUCUAAUCCUGUUUGCUCCCCACGCUAUCGCGCCUCAGCGUCAGCUACUGCCCAGCAGGCCGCCUUCGCCACCGGUGUUCUUCCGGAUCUCUACGCAUUCCACCGCUACACCCGGAAUUCCACCUGCCUCUACAGUGCUCAAGUCCACCAGUUCGCAUGGCCGACUCGGGGUUGAGCCCCGAGCUUUCACCACACGCUUAGCAGACCGCCUACGCGCCCUUUACGCCCAAUAAUUCCGGACAACGCUUGCACCCUACGUAUUACCGCGGCGGCUGGCAC
rnacentral:misc_RNA from 1 species